CGAGUGGCGGACGGGGGAGUAAUGUCUGGGAAACUGCCCGAUGGAGGGGGGUAACUACUGGAAACGGUAGCUAAUACCGCAUAACGUCGCAAGACCAAAGAGGGGGACCUUCGGGCCUCUUGCCAUCGGAUGUGCCCAGAUGGGAUUAGCUAGUAGGUGGGGUAACGGCUCACCUAGGCGACGAUCCCUAGCUGGUCUGAGAGGAUGACCAGCCACACUGGAACUGAGACACGGUCCAG
rnacentral:rRNA from 1 species